rnacentral:rRNA from 1 species
ACUCCUACGGGAGGCAGCAGUGGGGAAUAUUGCACAAUGGGCGCAAGCCUGAUGCAGCCAUGCCGCGUGUAUGAAGAAGGCCUUCGGGUUGUAAAGUACUUUCAGCAGUGAGGAAGGUGGGUAUGUUAAUAGCAUACUCAUUUGACGUUAGCUGCAGAAGAAGCACCGGCUAACUCCGUGCCAGCAGCCGCGGUAAUACGGAGGGUGCGAGCGUUAAUCGGAAUUACUGGGCGUAAAGCGCAUGCAGGUGGUUUGUUAAGUCAGAUGUGAAAGCCCGGGGCUCAACCUCGGAAUUGCAUUUGAAACUGGCAAACUAGAGUACUGUAGAGGGGGGUAGAAUUUCAGGUGUAGCGGUGAAAUGCGUAGAGAUCUGAAGGAAUACCGGUGGCGAAGGCGGCCCCCUGGACAGAUACUGACACUCAGAUGCGAAAGCGUGGGGAGCAAACAGGAUUAGAUACCCUGGUAAACUCUGC